UUUAGUUAUUAUGAUGGAUUUGUAUAUUAAAUUGUCAGUUUGUGUACCUCGGCUGAUUCCUGGACGAGGAUUUUAUGCACAAAUCAGUUCGGAAAUUACUAGUGAAUUUCCGGGCGUGACAAGUUGGUAUCAGAGCCAUCUUGACUGUAGGAUAAGCCAAAUGGUCAAACCUUAAGGACUAAUUUUCCGAAAACAUAAUUUGUGAAAAUUUUCCUUUCUUCCUUAUCUAGAAUUCUUUGCAAAUCGUUUUGUCGUUCUUCCCCCUUCCUCUUUCAACUUGAGUAGUCGUUAAUCUUGAUGGAGAAACUCGAAGACGUCGAUGUUGUCAACUUCUGCAAGUCAAGUGGAUCGAGGAAUAAUAAGAUGAUAGUCGAAUCUUAAGUGUUCAGAUAGAGUGAAGUUUGGAACCUAUCUUAGAACCUAUGCCGCCAAAGUGUCUUUGAGGAAUAGUUAGUAGGGUAGAACGCUUGUUGUUUGCUUUGUGUGUAGGUAUGGUUGCAUUCCCAUCAUUGGAGUAGUUCAUUGAUGAGUGUGUAACUAUACUAGGUUGCUUGCUUAAUCAACUUGAACAAUAUAAUGGUCUACACACAUCAGAUCAGUGUUAACCUGGUUAAGGUCUUGUCUUUAGUGUAACCCCUCUCCUUCUACCUUUUCUAAUCUGCAUCAGAAUGGUGGGAUCAUUUCCGGAUGAACAGAGCAGAAGGACAACCAAUCACUUGGGAAGAGUUUAUCGAAGGAUUCAAGAAGACACACAUACCUGCAGGUGUUGUUGCUUUGAAGAAGCGUGAGUUCCGGGCACUUAAGCAAAAGGAUCGUACCGUGACGGAAUAUCUUCAUGAGUUCAAUCGUCUAGCUCGCUAUGCUCUAGAAGAUGUGCGUACUGACGAGGAAAGGCAGGAGAAGUUUUUGGAAGGCUUAAAGGAUGAGCUGUCAGUUAUGUUGAUCUCUCAUGACUAUGAGGAUUUUCAGGAGUUGGUUGACAAAGCAAUUCGACUUGAAGACAAGAAGAACAGGAUGGAUAACCGUAAAAGGAAAAUGAUUGUAUUCCAGGAGGCACAGGAUAGUAGCCAGAGGCAGCGUAUCAAGCCACUCCAAAUUGGUGAAUCUUUUUCUGCAGGUCAAGAACAGUCACAACAGUUGGGCAUCAGUGGUGAGAUCAACUCAGAGACUAAUGCAAGCAAUGAAGACAAUGAUGAGCAAGCUACUCAAUCAGUGUCAUUUCAGCAGGAUCAGUCUCAAGAAGAUAACAGUAAUGGAAGGGAGCAUCGGGUGUGUUUCAAUUGUUAUGAGCCAGGUCACUUCGUAAAAGAGUGUCCGAAGCCGAAGCGUCAACAGCCACAAGGCCAAGUCAACAACAUUGUCCUCACAGGAGCAAAUGCAGUGCCGGUUGCGUCUCAAGGGAUACAGCUCAGCCAUCAGUUCCAAAGCAGCAGUAGCUUUCUUUAAAACCAUAGAAUAAUUAUCGGAGUUAUGGAAUAAGAUAGACUGCAGUUUACCUAUGCCCUUUUCUUUCUAGCCGUUCCGAAUCUCGGGACGAGAUUCUUUGUAAGGGGGGUAGAUUUGUCACAUCCUGAUUUUCGUUUCAGGAUUUAUAAAUUAUUUAAUAAAUUAAUAAUAGAAUUUAUAUUAAAUGUUCUUUAAUUUACAAGUGAAGUUAAAUGUGGGAAAUAAAAUUUCCUAAAUAUAAAGCAUGGAUGGAUUUAAUUUUUAUUAAAUUCUCCAUGGUUAAUUAUACUCUCUGGAAUAUUCUCGGAUUUUUCGGAGCUCAAUUCCUAAUUUUUAAUCUUACAAAGAGCAUUUCAGUAAUUACCCACAUAUUAAAUUAAUCAUUAAAUGGUCUAAUUAUAAUUUUGUUAAGUACUUUGAGUGUCCAAGUAUUUUCAAGAUUUUUCUUGGAAUUAUUUGAGCAUAGGAAGUAUUUUUAACAAUUCAAAGAUCAUUUCAGUGAUUAAUUUAAUUGGAAAAGUAUUUAAAAUUCACCUUUUCCUUUUCGGGCCGAAUUAGGAAAAGUCCUCUCACUCUCGGCCCAGUCUCCUCUCAGCCUGCAGCCCUUUUCCUCUCUUUCCCGAAGUCUGCUUUUUGUCCCUCCUUUAAUCAGUCUUUGGAAGUAGAAGCCCAGCAGAAAGUCUACUUUCCCUCCCUGGCACUGUUCAUCUUCCAGCUCUGGACAGAGCCGAGCCGCCCGUGCUGUGCCCUGUGCAGCCGCCGCUUCCUCCGUUAAAUCUCGCCUCCCCGUUGCUCCUUUUUCCAAUUUAGUUGAGGGGAAAUAUUCCUCUUAUCCUCCUCUAUCUUUACCCCAAAAAUCGGAGCAAAUCGUUGAGUAUUUUAUCCGAAUCGAACUCGUUUUUGAGUUUAUCUCCAAAACCGAGUUUUUGAUUUCCCGGAUCGAUUUCUUGCGGGAGGAGUCCGAUCUCUUCAAUCCAAGGCUAUAAAUAGGACCCCCUAGUCCUCCUCUUUCGUUUGCCCCCUCUCCCGUCCUCUUCCGUGCUCCGUAGCUCCGUCACCACCGUUAGGUGCGCGAGAGGGUGGAGAAGCCCGGCCGCUCUCUCCCCGCUGUCGCCGGUCACCGGAGUCCCGUCGCCACCGCCGCCAAGCAAACCGCCGCCGCCGGCCAUCUCCGGUGCCGCCGCGCCGCCGUCUCCAUCGUCGUCGCCGGUCGCCGUCACCACCGUUGGGUGCGCCGUGGUGAGGGGAAGCUCGGCCACCCUUCCUUUUCCGUCGCCGGUCAUCGGAGCUCCGCCGCCCCGUGCAACCCGAGCCGCCGCCGUCGCCUCCUCGUCGCCGGCCGUCGUCGGUCGUCGUUUGGCACGAGGGUGAGUAUCUUUGGGUUCGUCUCGUCGUCCUCUACGUGUUCAUGUCCUCCAAAUCCGCAGCCGGUCGCUCUAUCUCCGGCGAGGUCGCCAUCUUGGUCCGGCCAUUGAUGAUGUCAUCAUGACGUCAUCAUCUUCUCCUUUUCCAGUUUUUUCUAAUAGAUUAAAUCUUCGGAAAUUCAUAACUAAAUCAUCGUAACUCGGUUUUGAGUGGUUCAAGUUGCUAAAUUCAUCUAAAAUCAUGAUCUACAUGUUUGUUUACUUUAUAUGUACUGUUUAUUUGGUUUUUAUUAGUCUUUUUCUUCGUUUUGCGUGUUAGCUUGUCGUUUCCGUCGUUGCGAAGGUUCGUGAGUGCGUCGGAAGUGAUCAAGAAGAUUACUUGAAGACCGAUUAUUGCAAGGCAAGUCACACAGAUCCUAAACACAAUCCUUUGAGCAUGUUGAUCCUAUAUUUAAAUUCUCUAUUUAUUUCAACUGUGCAUUUAUUUUCGAAUGUCACCGGGUGGUGUGAACUUAUUCCUUUGUUAUGGCCAAUUUGCAUUGAUUACUUUAUUCCUUGAUACCUUGGGUUAUUAUAACUUGACUAGUUGGGCUUUAUAUAUUGGUUCAGCUAGAUAUUAGUUAUGAUUGCUUAGCCAUGCUUAGAAACAUUAGCACACUAUUGGGAUAACUUAUGACUCACUAUUAUUUAAGGAUGGCUUAAUGAUAGUUCACGAUGGUUAAUCGUGAUUGGUUAAUUAAUUACUUGCCAACUAAAACUUGAUAAUGGUGGGUUGUGAGCACAUGGUUUUGAGAGUCGUGCUCAUGACAAUUAAGGACCGGUUCGCGAGCUACUGUUGUGAAACAUUUAUCGUGCCAACCACAAGCCAGCGUGGGCAACGGCUUUAUCUUUUGUGUAGCGUGAUUCAUUAUAGUGCGCCAGACUGAGAAGUGGCGAGAAGUCCACGGGGGUAGCUGGGGAGUCCAUGCCUCUGGUUUUUGAGGGGGUGAUUAUGAUCCAGGAAAGGUGCGCUGUAAUGGGUUAUGUUGUGCAAGGGGUAUUGUCACAACUCCUUUCCGAGGUACCGUGGUGGUAUUGAGGCACAUGGUGACAUGAUGUGGGGUUGUGUCUUGUGGGUACAGUGGUACACCUCUGGCCAGAGUAAAACUAUUCGAAUAGCCGUGCCCGCGGUUAUGGGCGGGUUGAGCAAUGUUUUUCGUGAUUAGUCUCACACCUCUCACAAUAAUUAUGGAUGUUAAUACCUGAUAAUAAUUUGCUUAGCUCCUGGUUUGGAGUUAGAUCUGUACAGCCGGGUAUGGUUGUUCAGGAUGGUUGGGCCUGUACAGCAUGGGUGUGCUGUUCAGUGUUGAUUAAAAUUUUUAAUUAAUUACUCUACUGUUUUACUACUCUUAACUCUUUGCUAAAUGCUGCUUUUGCAAAUGAGCCUAUAUUAUGCCAUCCUUUGGAAUCCUUGUGCACUUGCAUAUUUGCUGUGUGGCUUGUUGAGUAUGUCAUAUGCUCAUUUUUGCAAUAAUCAAUCAACCUCAGUUGAAGAAAAAGGAUCCAGAAGGAGAAGACGUUUGGCUUAUACCCCAGUUGAGCUGCCUGUGGGAGUGGAGCCGGAGCUUCGCUAGAUUUUAUUUUCCGCUGCAGUUUUUCUUCUUGGUGAGGACUAAGUGCCUCUUAAGUAAGUAUUUAUCAGUUUAGUUAUUAUGAUGGAUUUGUAUAUUAAAUUGUCAGUUUGUGUACCUCGGCUGAUUCCUGGACGAGGAUUUUAUGCACAAAUCAGUUCGGAAAUUACUAGUGAAUUUCCGGGCGUGACAGCCAUUAAUGGCGGCCGGGUCUCCCGCGCCCAUUUCCCCCUCCUCCGGCCGCCCUCUCUCACUCCCAACCCUAUAUAAACCCUCCCCGAGCUCCCCACCACCGUUUCCGCCACUCACCGCCCUUCCUCCUCGACGGAAUCGAGCUCGUGCCGUCGCUCUCUCUCUCCGCCGUCGCCGUCGAGCUCCGGUCCGCCGCCGUCGUCGCCCCGAACCACCUCCCACCUCGGCGCCGCCUCCUUCGGCUUCACCGCAUCCUCGCCGACCUCGUCCACCCCUCCGUUUCGCUCGCCGACCGCCGGAACGCCGUCGACCCCGUCCACCCAAGCCGCGCCGCCGCCUUCCUCCGCUCCGGCCGCCUUUUCGUCGUCGCCGUCGACCUAGGGUGAGCCGUGGACCGCCGCUUCGUUUCCCCCUUUCCCUCCCCUCUCUCGGCCGCUGCUCCGCCGUGCCUAUGGCCGCCGCCAGCGACCAUAGGGGCGCGGGCGCGCCGCCUCCCGCCGCUGCGCCAGCGUGGCCGCCUUCGGGCGCACCAAGCGGCUGCAGCGUGGGGCCCGGCCGUCAGCCGCCCGUGCCCUCGGGUGCGGCUGACGCGUGGGACCCACGGCGCCGGCCGGUGUGAGCCCGGGUGCGCCCGGUCCACCGUGGACCGUGAGGCUGCCGCGUGGGCCCCACUCCCGUGGACCCGGUCCGCGCACCCCCUCCCCUCGGCUGACGCAAUAAACCUUUUUUUUAAUUAAAAUUUAAAUGAAGAAAUUCGCAAAUAUUCAUUUAAAGAGCAUAUAAACUUCAAAUGGCCAUAACUUGGCCAUUUGAACUCGGAAUUGGACCGUUCAAGUCUCUAAUUUUUCCUUAAGAAGUCAAGAACCCAUUUUUGUGCUUUGUUCCUGCUUGUUAUAUGGAGUUUAUUAGAGUAAAAGCCUUUUUCUUUUCCGUUGGUCGUGUAGACGCUGCAGCUUCGGAAGAUCCGCUCUUCGUGGAAGUUGAAGCCGACGUUUGGGAAAGCGAGCAAGGCAAGUCACAUCAUCCUUGAACAUAUUGAAUCCCAGUUUAUAAAAUUAUUUUGAUUUAAAUUAUUGCAUUAUCGCUUUAUUUAAAUUCCCGCGUUAUCACUGUUUUAUCUAGCCAUGCCUAUUUACCUUUGUUAUGACCUUAUUAUUGUUAUUGUUAUUAUUUCCUUGUUCACCCUAGAAUAAACAAAACCCCAACUAGUGGACACUCUACUCAUGGUACCACUAGUAUGAUUUUAGGUAGAUGCUUCGCUGGUUAAUUAGGCAACAUUAGGUGGUUUUACAACUCUAGACUUUGGGAAUAUUCUCAUCACCUGGACACUUUGGAAUGGAUGGAUUAUUGUGGAAUUGGAUUCACACUUCCCCCUCUAUUCAAAAUCCCCAAAAUGGUUUUAGGCUGGGCUCGGGGUGCAUGGUUUUGAUAGUAGCACCUCGGCCAUAUAAGGACCGGUCUUCGGGCCUCUGUUGCAAAGCACUACCGUACUUCCACAUGUCUAGUGGGUAAGGCUUAGUUUGUGGCUCAGUCUGGUUAUAAACAAAAGUACACGGAUGGAGAUGGACGAAGUCAGGGGUCGAUGGACAUCUCUAGGACAAAUGAAGGCUACACGAGCUGCGGCCCGGUAGUCGAGAUGUCAUGGCACAGGGCCGGUGUCCUGCUGCUAGGGGCUCAGUCCUGCCUACCUGUCCCGGGGGUUCCGGCCGUAGGUGGGGUUGGGUCGGUACUCUUGUCUAUGGCUAGGAUGGGUUGGAAACUAUGUCACAUCUUCCGUCCGUAUACCGUGGUGGUAUGUGGCACGUAGCUACACGUGAGGAAGAUGUGUCUUGUGGGUAAAGAUGUACACUUCUGAUCAGAGUAUAAUCUAUUCGAAUAGCCGCGCCCUCGGUUAUGGGCAAGCCGAGCAAUGUACCCAAGUUAGUGUUUUAAUUCUUAAAACCUGCUUAACAACUAAAAUGUGGAAUGGUUGGCCUGGGUUGGCUUGGGACGAGCUGGGACCCAGGGUCGGGUUGCCAAUUCGGUCUAAAUCAUCGUAGGCCUUGGGUUAAGGCAGGUUCGUGUGGGUUCACGGCCUUGAUUAAUAAUAUGGUAUAGCUCUGGAAUCGUGUUUACAAAAUAGCUUUGAGCAACUAAGUGUCUUUUAAUGCUGUUUACUGCAAACCCUAACCCUUUAUAUUAUAACCCCCUUGUACUCCCUUGCAUUUAUCCUGCACUUGUGGGUGUGUCUUGUUGAGUACGGUGGUUGUACUCAGUCUUGCUCAAUUUUUCCCAAACCCAGAAGAGGAGCCCCUGGAAGAUGAAGGCUUUGGUGUCUAGCUCGUGCCUGCCGUCAAGCGCCUGUGGUAGUCGCCCUAGUCUUCCGCUGUUUCUCGUUUGUCUUUGUGUGUGCUGGGCCUUCGCCGCCCAUGUAAUAAAUUAACUAUUUACGCUUCCGCUUGAUAAACUCUGAAAUGUAUCAACUUUUGGUGUACCUUGCCUCCUGGGACAAGGAAUAAUACACGCACGUAAGGAACGCCCGUUGGGUUAAUUCCGGUCGUGACAUGUACCGAAAUCAGAAGGAUGAAAUGCAUGGAGAUCAAGCUAUAUAUGUCAUUCUUUCUCUCCGUGCUCAUAUUGAUAUAUUCAUAUAUAAUAUUUUCAUGUGAUUACAUAAGCAUGUGAGACUAAUGUUUUGUUUGAGCCAUUUCUUGUUUAGUCUCUUUUCACAUUGAGAACAUGGAGAUGAUGAAGGUAUGCUUCUAUCUUAGUGUACACAUAUGAUCAAUAACUUCUAUUCUUGUAUAGGGUAAGUUCACAAUCUUUUAUCUCUAAUUAUGCAUACAUUUGUUUCUCACAAAAAUAUUUUGUAUGCAUACAUUUAGGGGGAGCAAAUCCUAUACCUUGGUUAUGCAUGUACUUGAUCCAAGUUAUUCACUUUUAUUUAAUUGAGAUCUUUACAUGUGAGCAUAUAAUUGAGUAUAUGGCACUUAAGGUGUUGAUUAAUACUCAUCAUUUAUUCAUAUCCUUUUAUAGAUGCAAUCGGUUGGUCAACAUGUGGAGGUUGACAACUGGAUCAUUGGGACUAAUAAUUUUAUUGAGUUGAAUGAGAGAAAUAGGUCCCAAGGAUUGCAAAGGUGUUGAUGCCAAAGUGGAGAUAUUGAAGAUGUGGGAUACGAAGUGGCUACUAUGGCAAAACGGUGAAGGGCAAGCGAUGCUCGGUCGCGAUGGACCAUGCGGAGGUGAAGGGCAAGCAAGGGGCUUGGCGCCGAAGAACCAAAUCCGGUGGUGAAGGGCGAGUGACAGCUUUGUCAUGAUGGACCGUGCGAGACUAUUUGAAGCUAUAAGUAACCGCAUCAAUCAUUUGAAGAAUAUACGGUGAAACGGUUUUGGCGUUGGCAUCCCUUAUGACAAAGGAAGGAAAUGGAAAGAAGGCAUUCCUAUUGGUAUAAUUAUCUUCCUAUUUACAUUUGAGUAUAGGAAUGCCGUACUAUUAAGAGGGAUGCAACGUCGAUGCGUUUGUGUAUGUCUCGGUGCUCAAAGUGACCUAUCAGAUUGGUACCUUGAGAGAAACCUAAGCUUUAACCAAUCCUUUGAGUGGUUUUAGACCUUAUUCUUGGUUGAGUUGGGUAGUCCUCUAAGUGAGCUUUCCAUAGAGUCCAAGAUCAGAAAAAACGGACUCCCGAGCAAAAAGUUAUAGUCGUUUUACUCUGUGCUUUUCGGAAAUUCCGAAAAAUUAUCGAAAACUCCGAAAAUUUUUUGGAAAACUCCAAAAAUUUCAGAAAUUCCAAAAAUGGGUGCAAAUCUGAGAUUGGCUUCUGUAAAUUUUCAGACAUAUCCGAAAAUGCUUUUCGGAACUUCCAAAAAUUACAGUCUUGGCCUCUAACGGCUAGUUUUUUAGGGGCUUGGGUAUGUAAACUCCUCCAUCUCUCCUUUGAGUGGUUGCUAUUCUUGGGCAACAUUAGACACAUCCAAAGCCAAAUAGCCAUCUCCAUUUCCCAUCCUUUGUGGUGCCACUUUGUGAGGGGGAUUUGAGAAGGAAAGAGAGUUGGAUUGAGAGAGUGAGGAGUUGAGAGCUAGUGAGCUUCACUCCAUCCUUUGUGGUGCCUCUUUGUGAGAGGAAUUUGUGAAGGGAAGAGAGUUCGAUUGAGAGAUUGAGAAGUUGAGAGCUUGUGAGUUUCACUUCAUACUUUGAGCACUCGAGUUCAUAGC
rnacentral:lncRNA from 1 species